CGUGCCAGGCGAGGGGAGAGGAGCUGGGGAGCCGGGCGUCCUCCCGCGGGAGGCCAGCGCCCCGGCCCCGCGCCGCCCCCUCCCCUCCCUCACGGGCGCCCCAGCUUCUCGCUCCCGAGGCUCCUGAGGCACGCGGAGACCCUCAGUGCGCUUGGAGAUCCCUCGGGGACGAACCAAAGCGCGCCAGCAGGUGAGGAGAGAACGCCGCCCGGUGCCUCACGCCCUUUGGCGCCCCUGCAAGCCCCAUCCCGACCCCCCCCCGACCCCCGCCGCUCUAGCGCAGCCUAGAACCCGUGACCUUUUCUAGAGCCCGUCUCAGGUGACUUUCUGGAGCUUCAGGGGCUCGUAUACUCAGAGCUAGAAGGGACUUCGGGGACCCUCAGAGCAGCCCCCCAUCUGACCCCCGAGAAGGAAAGGCCGGGGCUGCGGGCUCUGUCACGGCCCGGAAUUCUGCCCCAGGAUGCCUUGGAGCCAGGGUUCCAGCGACAUUUCCCCUCAGGGAGUCUCAGUUUCCCUUCCUAAAAAGACCCACAUCACAGGGCUAGGAGGGAAGGUGCCCUUCGGCCCUUAACUGAACCGCUCCACCCUCAGGCCGUUAAUGUUGUUCCCAGUUUUCUCCCCACUGAUCUCUCCCCGGGGUGAGACGCCACCCAUUGGCUAGCACUGCUCUCCAGGGUGCCUCGGAACCCCACCAGCCCCGAAAAGAGCAUUAUGCAAAUUACUGCAGAUUCCUCCAUUUUACAGGGAGAUAAACUGAUUCCCAGAUAAGGCAUGUGACUUGCGUCAGGGAGUAAGAGGGAAGGCCAGGCCCAGAAGCCAGAUCUCCCAGUUCCCAUUGGAGGGCUCCUUCUGCUGCCCUCGGCCUUUAGAGCAAGAUUCUGGGGUCCCGGAGCUUGCUUCUUGAAACUUUUGAUCAUUGUAUUGCAGCAUAAUUUGUGUCCUUCCAGUUUUGUUUUGUUUUGUUUGGCUGAGGCAGUUGGGGUUAAGUGACUUGCCCAGGGUCACAGAGCCAGGAAGUGUGAAGUGUCUGAGAACAGAUUUGAACUCAGGCCCUCCUCACUUCAGGACUGGUGCUCUCACCACUGGGCCACCCAGCUGCCCCGGUCCAUUUGUUUUUAUAGCUAGCUCUCGUAUGAUGCUCUAAGACAGGCAACGUGCUUUACCAACAUUAUCUCCCCAAAGUACCCAGCGCGGUAGGUGCUGGUAUCGUCCCCAUUUUACAGAUGAGGAAACCCAAGGUCACACAGCCAGCAAAUGUCUGCGCCUGGAUCUGACUUUAGGUCAGAACUCUAUUCACUGCCCCAGCCAGUUGCCUAGGAUUAAAAUGCAAAUUUUGUCCCUUAAGAAAAAUAAAAUAAAUCGACUUAAAUGUGAUGCCUUUAAAACAGUAUCCUGAGAAGGAAUUAAUAGGUUGCCCCAGACUCAGUGUCCAAGCAGUUCAGUUUGCAGAAAAGGUCGAGGCCUCCUGACAUAGAGAGAAACAAGUGGAGCUGGAGCUCUCUGGAGGGAAAAGGGAAAAGCAGAACGGCCUCUAAGCCUCUUUAGUGAUUGCUACGGCCUCUGCUUUCCUGUAGUCUUCCCUUCCCUAAAAGGCUCUGCUCAGUCUCAUCUUCUCUGGACACUUCCCAUGAUCCUCUCCUUCUUGGAUUUUCCCAGAACAACCUGCUGGAUCUUCCCCACUUCCUGUCUGUUAGCCCCUAAUCCACACGAUCCCAGAAUCCUAGAGCAGAAAGGAACUGUCGUUGCUUCAAAAAUCUGCCUUGUACCUGAAGGGCAAACAUCUGUGUGGAGCAUCACUUCCCAAAAUCUAGCCUUGUUUCAAGCAGGGGUGGGAGCCCUGGCCCAGAGGUCAGAGGGUGUGGGUUCAAAUCUCUACACCCCCCCUCCCCCAUCUUAUAAACAGUUGGAACUCUGGACCUCAGUGUCUUCAUUUGUGAAAAUCAGGAGGUUCAUCUAAAUGGCCUGGCAGGGCCCCUGGUGCUCUAGAUCUGUGUGUCCCUCACUUCCCCCUCCCCCCAGUUUCCUGAGCCCAGAUACUGUCAUUCUGGGGCUUUUGUCCCCCUGUGGGGCAGGGUCUGCACACGGUGGGUACUAACAUUGAACUCAAGCCACGGCAGCCCAAGUUUGUCUUGUAUAUUCUGUCCAGAGAGGUGAUGGGCCUUUGCUGAAUUAGGACCUGGGGAAGAAGAGGGCAGUGGGUGUGGUUUUGCCUUCAGGAGCAGGGGAUGGUGGACUCAUUCAUCUGGGAGGUGAGAAAGGCCAGGACGCGGAGCCACGGAGCCACGGAGCCACGGACCACGUUCCACGGACUGGCCGGAAAGUGCCGUCUCUGGAGUCGUUCUAGCCAGCCUUUAGCUCGGGGCUUUGCUCCGCGCCCUUUCCAUCCAUCCUCCCCUAGGCAGCAGUGCUCAGGCCCUGGGUCAAAGAAGGGCAGUGUCCCACAGCGCCCUCGAAGCUGCCAUCACCGUCACGGCCCUCUGGAGCCCCCUCGUUACCCCAGGACGUCCGAGGAGACUAGGCCUGGGCCACACUCUCAAGCUGGACCCCAGGGAUCACGAAUCACGGCGGAGUGUCUGUAGCGGUCCAAAGGUUUCCCAAGCGUUUGCUUCCCAGCGGCCCUGGAAAGUAGGGAAUCCAUUGGGUGGUCACUGAAGCACUGAGAGGGGAAAGGAAGGAAAGAAGAAAGCAGCUUUCCAUCCCUCCCCUUCCUGCCCUGGCUCUUGUUUGCUUCAAACAAACAGGAAGUCAGGUAGAUGGCAGCGAGCUGCUGCUUCCCUACGCUGUAGAGAAGAAGAAAUAUGUUCAGGGGACGCCCAAAGCUCAGAAGGAGCCUCGGCGGCUACAGGCCCAACCUUAUUAUCUCCGCUGUCCUCCCACGGUCUGUCCCUUGUCGGAGCCCACCCUUGCCCGGGCAGCUCCCUCAGCUUCGGACAGGUCUUGGGGUUGAAGAGAAAAAAGCCCCUGAGUCCGGGCCAUCCCGGGAUGGCGCCAUUUUGGAUUCAGCCCCAGGCCGGCACCUGCACAGGGGGGUGUUGGACUCUCAUCACAAACAAAGGGGAUCUGGGCCUGGCUGUGGUGGGGGAAGAGAGAGAAAGGAGCCAGUCAAAGGAAGGGCUGUGACUUAAACAUAUCCAUUCGGGCAAUUUUCCGUGAGCCAGUUGCUCGGUGGUUACCAACUCUGAGAAAUAUGAAGUUGAAUCACCGCAGUUCGUAAUUUUUUACCCAGAAAUCUUGCUUGCUGGGCAUCUAGCCCAGGUCUAGGACCGAGAAGCCCCAUUUAUGCACAGAUAUUCACCUCGCCAUUUUUUUUGUUAAUCAACAAGCAUUUAUGAAGCAUAUUUCUGGACAAUAAUAACUAGAAUUGCUAUGGCGCGUUAGUGUUUACAAAUCGCUUUAGUUACAAGAUUAGCUCGUUUCAUCCUCCAUGUUGGGGGUGGGCGCCAUUGUUACUCCGAUUUUUACAAACGAGGAAACCGAGGGAGAUAGGAGUGGAGUGCCUUGCUCAGGAUCACACGGCUCCUAAGUUUCUGAGGUCAGAUUUGAAUUCAGGUCCCCCUGACUUGGGGGCAGUUAGAUGGAUGGCACAUUGGAUACAGUGCCAAUGUGUCCAAACACACAACCUCAGAGUCCACUGCAGUCUCAGACCUUUCUAACUGUGUGACCCUGGACAAGUCAUUUAAUCCUUGUGCCUCAGUUUCCUCAUCUGUCAAAUGAGCUGGAGAAGGGAAUGGUCAAUCACCCCAGUAUCUUUACAAAGAAAACCCCAACGGGGUCAUGAAAAGUUGGCCAUCGCUGAAAUGAACAAGAACAAUAUGGGUCUCCAGGACAGAUUUUUUACUGUCAGAUUUAGGAUCAUAGAUUUAGGUCUAGAAAGGACAUAGAAUAGGACAUCUAGUCCAGGCCCUUCGUUUUACAGUUAAGGAAACUAAGAUCUUUACAGAUUUCUCUUCUAAGCAUCUGCUAGAUCCUCCCUGCCCCAAUUUACAUAGACAUACACAUAUAUGUAUAUAUAUAUAUAUAUAUAUAUACACACAUAUAUGUAAAUUAUAUGUAUCCAUGUUUCCCUUGAUAGAAUGUAAGCUCUUUGUGGGCGUUCAAGAACAGUUAUUUUGUCCAGUAGUUUGUGACACAUAGUAGGUGCUUUGUAAAUGUUUCUAAAUUAAGCAACUUUCCCAAGACCACAUAGGUAGUAAGUGACCGAGCUGGGAUUUCCAACCCAGCUCGCCUUCCCAGUGCCCCUCCCUGGAGCAGCUGGUUUUGUUCUUUGGUAUGCUAGGGCUCCGUGGGGUUGGGCUCCUCAGGAAAUGAUGCUGUAAAAAGUCAACAGAACCAACAGGAGGUUUAUAUUAAACAUGCUCCUCGUACCCACAUGGUCUAGGUCUAGUCUUGAACAUCUCCGAUCCCCCCAAGGCCUUGCUGGGAAACGUUCCAGGGAAGGGGACCGUUCUCGAGAAUUUCAGCAAAAGUCACCGUCCCAGAAAACCCUGGGGUUGAGGCGACGGGCGGCUGGCCUUUGAAAUGGGCUGAAAUAGUUAUAGGACCACAACGAUCGGGACAAGAGCGCCUUCACACCCAGCCCACAGAGGGAAAGCGAUCUCGUUUUAAUUCAGAUCUCCAGGAUCCAGACAUGGUGCCGGUCCUCGGAGAUCAGAGAGUCCCAGAGGACCCUCAAGGAGGGCGUGCCCAGAAUGACUGCUGCUUGAGCCCUGUGGCUGUCUCCUUGGCUCGUGUGGCCUGCUAUGGGUUCUCCUGAUCUUGUUUCCUGCCAUCCUCGAGUCCCGGUAACUGUUUCUCAGUCUAGGUUUGGGGUCAGAGGUCUCCCUCUGGGAAAGGGCAUGCUAUAGAGAGCCCAUUUCUCCGACAUCACGGGAAGCCCGGCCUCCAAGGCCGCCCACCCACCCCAGGCUCAGAAUCAACUCCAGGCCAUCCUCAAAGCCCAAGAAGGGAAUCAAUAAAAUAAGGAAUCCAGACCUAGUCUCUGAUGGACCAAGAGGGACAAAAUCUCAGCGCCCAUCUGUUCGCGAUUGCCCCCCAAACCCUCCUCUAAGUUAAUGUGGCUACCUGACUGUUGCUUGGAACCCUCCAAUGGUCAGGCUUUCUCUCUCCUUCCUUCCUCGCCUUCUGAGCCAGUUCAUUGUAUUUUAGAACAGUUUGGAUUAGUAGGAAGGUUUUCCAGAAUCCAAUCUCAGUCUGGUUGCCUGCAAGCUCCCCAUUUCUCCUUAUUCUGCUCUCUGGGGCCUAGCAGAACAAGUCUGAUCUCUUUUGUAUGAUGCUCGUGGCCACAACCCCACCAGCCAGAUCCCCUCCUUCCCCCGCUGUAUAAACAUGUCCGAUCCUCGUGAUGACUGGAGACCAGCCACGUCACGUUCCUCUUUACCUGCAGCUUUUCAUUGUCUUUUCUAAAACGUGAGUCUCACUGGACCCAGGACCGCAUGGCCUGACAACAGGGCCAUCUCCUCUAUGAUGCACUUCUAAAAUCUGAUUUUUUUGGACAUCCUUUGUUUUUCCGUUGCCUUCAUCUCCGAAUAUACACCUUCCUGUCUCCUUUAUGCAAUAAUAGCCAUGCCUUGUAAUAAAGAUUUCAAAAGAAAAAGGAAACAAAAACAACUCAGCCGAAAUAAUUCCCAUAUUGACUGCCUUACAGUAGAUGCAAUAUUCCAACCCACCCCUUUCCGCCCCUUCCUGUGCCUCCCACUGCAGCCUCAGUUCUUGGGGAAAGAAGGGACUUGCAGCUCAAACCUAAUUCCUUAUGAUUUACUUGGCUCCUCACUUCUCCAGGAAGCCUCCUCUGAAGAUCUCAUCGACUGCCUUUCUUUGCUCUCCUUUAGUUCCAUGCACUCUGACCCUUAGAAACACACCUAUUCUCAGUCUUGCCUCUUCCAACCUCCAGGCUUCCUACGGGCAUAGCUAUUGCUGACACUUCUGCCUCACUAGGCCCAGGAGGAUUAUUUGGACUCAUUCUUGCCCCCCUAUUUGGGUGGGAAGGCUGUCCAGUCAGACUUCUCUGUGUGACUUGUAUCUGGUGGGGGUGAUGGGAAAAACAUGGCGUCUGAAGUCCGAGAACCUGAUUUACCCGUCCAUUUCUCACCUGAAAACUGUGGGGUGAGACUUCAUUGCAGCUUUCAGCCCAUUUCUCAGACCUAGAAAGUCCUUUCUCUGCCCCAAUCCACUGACUGCCUCUUCCUCCUUUGGAAUUUAGCCCCUAGCUCGCCUCCAAGCCUUGCCCGGUCAACGGCCAGCCAAGUCUUCAUCUGUAGGUGUUUGAAGUCAGUGGAGGAAGUGCUUGUGUGUUUGUUAACCCAUUUUGUGAGCCCGUCUUCUCCCCCCAGUUAAACUAUAAGCUCACUGAGGGCAGAAAGCCUCCCAUUCUGCAUUUCCGCUUUUCCAGAACAGCCAUCUGGCUCUGUCCACAGCAGGCGUUAUCUGUCUGACCCUGUCCUCUUGAGGAAAUUUGUUUUCUCAUCUAAAAAUCAACCCCAAAUCCCCAAGUCAUGGACCAGAAGAUAACAAGUCCAAAUCUCCCUCCCUCCAGAGGGGUGGACCAGGGUAUGGUGGCUGUUCAUUGGCCGAGCCUGUGCAUGUUGCCAUGGAAACAGGAGGCGGAGAAACCCUCCUGCAGAGAGAUGCUGCUGAGCAUCUCCCUGCGCCUCGGAAGGCCCUGGCCUGUAUACGGUUUGUGAGGGGAGCACUGCAUGAGAAGUAGAGGAGAGAAAGUUGCCACCUCUGUUUAUCUGUCCUUCCCAUGCUGCAGCUUUCAGAGAGGUCUUGAGAUGCUGGGGGAAGAAAUGUCUCUUCCUCACCCCGCCCUCAACCAGAGCAAGGAAGCUGAGAGAAGGUAUGGCCUGGCAACAGCCAAAGCAUCGGCUGACAGACAGUGCCCUUCUAUUUGUGAGGAAGAGGAAACGAUGGGAGAAAUCCCCAUGUGAUGAAUUAUACACAACUUUCCCACGGGAAAAGUCCUUAGAACCUAAAACAUAAAAUGCCAGAAUGGAAGGGACGUUACAAGACAUAAUGUAAAGUGGGAGAGCUGGGAAGGACCUCAAAACACAGACCCUAAGAACGUUUUGUGUAGACUUUCAGACUUAGGAGGUGCCUUAGAACAUAGAGCAUAAGAUGCUAUGGUGGGAACACCCAAUACAGAAUGCUACAGAGCCGGGAGAACGGACCCUGACAGAGCUGGAAGGGUCUUUAUACCAUAGAAGAGCAGAGCUUGAAGGAGCCUUGAAGGACAAAGUAUGAGGCACUCUAGAAUAAAUACCAUAGAGCUGAAGGGAUCUUAGAAAUGAUGUAGCCCGACACCCUUCAUUUACAGAGCAGGAAACUGAAGACCCCGAGAGCCAUAGCGCCUUCUUAAGGUACCCUGGUGAGUUUGUGGCUGGUAGGACCAAAAUCCAGGUCUCCAGGACAUUGCUCUUUCCAUUAGUCUACAAUUUUGCUAAAAGGCAACUGACCCACAUCAGUCACCCUGGUGGCCACCUCUAGGCAGAGAUGGCUAAUCCCUUGGGUCAUUGUAUUUCCCUGGCUGUCUUCAUCUCUGUACUUGGGACAAGUUGUCUUGAAAGCUACCCGGCCUCAGAAGCGCGCUCUCCCCAGCAUAUCCUGGAGCGAUGGAGCUGUCCAGUUGGCUAUUCGUGGCCAGAGCUACAAUAGGAUUCUCUGGGUUCCAGUCCAGGGUGAUCCCAUUUCUGUAGUGAGCCAAGACCAGGAGCAAAGCAGGGAUUUCGAGCCAUCAAAGCAUUUGGCAGGAAAAGCUGAGCUCACACUUGAAAGUGAUGUGGAUUCAGUGGCUCCCAGCCAGCUUUGGUCUAGAGCUUUCUGGGUAUUGGGGUUAGCUUUGGCCCUCUCGAGAGCCGUCACCUACAUUCAGAGCUGCCCUGGGUCUUGAGGUGAACCACACGGCCAGUAGUGGACCGACCUUCUAGCUCUGGCCCGGCCUCAUUUGCAGGGAGUUCAAGGUAUGGCGGCUCUUUCUGGAGCCUUCCAGUCUGCCAUCUGCCCCAUCUCAAAUCUCAGUCUGAGCUGGGCCUCUUGGACUUAUGUUCAGUUUGUUGUGGAUGCCAAAGGAUGCCAGGAGGUUAACCCCCCCCAGGAGGGGCACAGCUAGCCAGGCUCUAAUACCUCCCCAGGGAUGUUUUGAUUCUUCAAGACUCCAGGAAGCUUUAAGGCUUCCAUAGAGAGAUCAUCGCUCUCUAGAGAAGAAGACUACCGCCCUACCUCCAUUUCUCCCCAGAGAGGGUCUGCCUGGCCGAUGCCCCUGAAAGUGAUUGGCCCCCGUUCUUCCCUCCUUCCUGAUAAGGUGGUCAGGGAGAGAUGGGGAGGUCUUCCCCCAGGAACCCUCUAAAACCAUUCAAGGCAGGAGCCAGGCACUGCAUGGCCUGUUCUGGCUAUAAAAAGCCCUUUUUGGGGAAAAAAAUCAUAAAGGAAGAAACCAGCCAAUCCCUCCGCGAUGCCAUCACCUCUUCUUGGUGAAUUUUCGGGGAAGGAGUGGGCGGGUUGCCAUGGCAACAGAUGCGAGCUCGGCUCCGUAAAGAAGGAACCUUGAUAUUU